CGGGACGGGUGAGUAACGCGUGGGUAACCUGCCUCAUACAGGGGGACAACAGUUAGAAAUGACUGCUAAUACCGCAUAAGCGCACAGGGUCGCAUGACCUGGUGUGAAAAACUCCGGUGGUACGAGAUGGACCCGCGUCUGAUUAGCUAGUUGGUGAGGUAACGGCCCACCAAGGCGACGAUCAGUAGCCGACCUGAGAGGGUGAUCGGCCACAUUGGGACUGAGACACGGCCCAA
rnacentral:rRNA from 1 species